rfam:Beta vulgaris subsp. vulgaris Bvchr3.sca003.con0162.1, whole genome shotgun sequence.
UCUCAGUGAUGAACAAAACAGAUGACGAGUCGGAUAAAUACCAUUCAAUAAAAAUAUGACGACGAAACGAGGCAUUUGUCUGAGAGAA